rnacentral:rRNA from 1 species
UACGGGGGGGGCAAGCGUUGUUCGGAAUUACUGGGCGUAAAGGGCUCGUAGGCGCCAACUAAGUCGGACGUGAAAUCCCCAGCUCAACCUGGGAACUGCGUCCGAUACUGGAUGGCUUGAAUCCGGGAGAGGGAUGCAGAAUUCCAGGUGUAGCGGUGAAAUGCGUAGAUAUCUGGAGGAAUACCGGUGGCGAAGGCAGCCCCCUGGGUCAAGAUUGACGCUCAUGCACGAAAGCGUGGGGAGCAAACAGGAUUAGAAAACCCGUGGU